rnacentral:rRNA from 1 species
AUUGAACGCUGGCGGAAUGCUUUACACAUGCAAGUCGAACGGCAGCACGGGGGCAGCCCUGGUGGCGAGUGGCGAACGGGUGAGUAAUACAUCGGAACGUGCCCGGUCGUGGGGGAUAACGUAGCGAAAGUUACGCUAAUACCGCAUACGAUCUGAGGAUGAAAGCGGGGGACCUUCGGGCCUCGCGCGAUCGGAGCGGCCGAUGUCAGAUUAGGUAGUUGGUGGGGUAAAGGCCUACCAAGCCGACGAUCUGUAGCUGGUCUGAGAGGACGACCAGCCACACUGGGACUGAGACACGGCCCAGACUCCUACGGGAGGCAGCAGUGGGGAAUUUUGGACAAUGGGCGCAAGCCUGAUCCAGCCAUUCCGCGUGCAGGACGAAGGCCUUCGGGUUGUAAACUGCUUUUAUACGGAACGAAAAGGCUCUGGCUAAUACCUGGGGCUCAUGACGGUACCGUAAGAAUAAGCACCGGCUAACUACGUG